GCAUGGCUGAAUACUGUGUUCUUUUUGUCAGUAGUUUACACAGCCAGACACCAUGCAAAAGAAAAAGUUUUCCCUUUUAAAGUAGCUAUAAUAGAAUGCAAAGUGUCUUCAUAGCAUAUCAUUACUAAAAAUGGAUACAAUA